rnacentral:rRNA from 1 species
ACUCCUACGGGAGGCAGCAGUGGGGAAUAUUGCACAAUGGGCGCAAGCCUGAUGCAGCCAUGCCGCGUGUAUGAAGAAGGCCUUCGGGUUGUAAAGUACUUUCAGCAGUGAGGAAGGUGGGUAUGUUAAUAGCAUAUUCAUUUGACGUUAGCUGCAGAAGAAGCACCGGCUAACUCCGUGCCAGCAGCCGCGGUAAUACGGAGGGUGCGAGCGUUAAUCGGAAUUACUGGGCGUAAAGCGCAUGCAGGUGGUUUGUUAAGUCAGAUGUGAAAGCCCGGGGCUCAACCUCGGAAUUGCAUUUGAAACUGGCAAACUAGAGUACUGUAGAGGGGGGUAGAAUUUCAGGUGUAGCGGUGAAAUGCGUAGAGAUCUGAAGGAAUACCGGUGGCGAAGGCGGCCCCCUGGACAGAUACUGACACUCAGAUGCGAAAGCGUGGGGAGCAAACAGGAUUAGAUACCCUGAUGCCUCUGC